GCCACCCCGGUGGCAUCAGGUAAACUGUGCCCAGCGGGCACAUGCAUUCACAAUAUCCCUCUGGCAGUGAGGUUUUAAAGGAUAAGGCAGUUAAAGGGUUAAUCAGAAUCAUCAAGACUUUAAAAUCACAUUCACAGAACAAUAUAUAUAACUUUAGUGACACUUUACAAUAAUAUUUCAUUUCUAAACAUUAUGUUAACAUGAACAAUAUUUAUAUAGCAUUCAUUCAUGUCAGUUAAUAUUCCAAACUUAAACAUUAAAACAUUGUUUUAUUGUGAUUUUUUUCCAAGCACAUUUUACCAAUUCCAAACCAUAUUAAUCUUAAUAACUACCAUUAUUUUUUAUUUAAUCAUUUAUGAGUGCUAUACAAUAGUCCAGGAAAGCUGGAAGAGAAAAACUCCUUAUAUUCAUGUGUGCAGAAUUAUUGGGCAUGUUUUCUUUUACAGAUGAAAUGCGCUAAAAAAGAGUUUUAACUCAAACUGUAAAGCCCAUGAGAAAUAUCAAACACAAAUGCAAUACAGAAAUGGAUAAGUUAAGACUUGGCCAUUGUACAAAAAAUGCUGACUGGGUCAUGAGGUCAGAAAAGAAGAAGAAAAAACAGGUCAAGAAGAACUGACAAAAAGAAUUGCAAAAUAAUUAGGAAUUAAUGUGAAGAUUAAUUUUUAGUCAAUUCUGCAAGACAGACUUUCAGGAAAGGAGGUGGAAUAAAAAUGAGCUCCUAAAUCUUAAUCCCGAAUUCUGGAAGAUAUAUUCCUCAAACCAUCGGACAAGAGGAGGUGGUGCUGGUCCUUCACGAGUCACUCUAAUCUGUUCAUAAAGCCUAUAUAUAAAGUCUUAAUAUAUAGUAUUUCACAAUACUUCAUGGUAUUCUAAUCAAAUAAUUUUUUUGAAUCUUAGAUCUCUCAGAACCUGACACAGAGUAAUUCUGGAGACUCCAGGAAAGUGGCAGUUCUGUAAAAUGUUGGCACUGGAGACUAAAUGCUCCCUGAUAGUUUCACACCUAAUUCACUUAACACCCACACACAUACACACACACACACACACACACACACACACACACACACACACAUUACCCACAGUGACAGAGGGACAGAGUGACAUCAGAUGUAUGAUAGUUUUUUAAUUUUCUAUCAUCCAUAUAGUGUUGUAUAGUCAUGAAACUAUGCAUAUUUCCUCAGAAUGACUUGUCUUCUAUGUGUACAUUUUUUUGAAGUGUUUAGAAGCUGCACUUUAAAAAAAUAAAAGACAUUUACUGGUUACUUUUUUACUGUUAUUUCAAUAAAUCACCACGACAAAACCAUUCAAGCUAUCCAAAAUUCAUCCGCACCUGUUCUGUAAGAUACAUUCUUUAAACAGUGGUAAAAGAGGAUGUGGGGCUGAACCCUCAAGAGUCACUCAAAACGUAUCUGUCCAUAAAGCCUAUAAAGAAUUAUUUCUUAAUAUACAGUUCACAAUACUUCAGCUUGUUAUUCUAAUUAAGUGAGGGUCAUUUUAUCAGUAAAUACAUAAAAUUCAUAUUAUUUUUCUUUGAAAGAUUUCUAUAAAUGAUUUAAAUCAUACUUGUUUCUACAAUAAUUAUUUAAAAGUUAUCCUAUAGCUCCAUCUGGUGGCCAUUAUUGGUACUAAGAAUUGCAAGCUUGAUUUAUAAGUUAUGAUAGUUUUAAUUUUAUGCUGGCUCUUGAAAAUGAUAAAGCUAUGAAACUUACUGUGCUUCCUUCAAAUGAGGACUUCUACUUAUAUAAAAAAUUAUGAAGAGUUAGAAUGAAAAAUUUUAAAGAUAUAGUAAAAUAACUAUUGUAUUUUUUAUGUUACUUUAAUAAAUCUCUAUGGCAACACCAUUUAAGCUAUCCUAAACCCAUUCGCAAUUUAACAUCUCAGUAUAUUGGCAUCAUGUUGAAAAAGGAGUAUGGAGUAGUAUGAGGAGGAGUAUGAAUUCAUUUACAGGCUGAUUUUAUCAUAAAUCCACAAUAAAAUUUCUGAGUUCUGUAUCAAUCUGUGUUGUUGUUUGUUUAUUUUUAUCUUUUAUUUUUCAUAGGAAGAUAACUGACCCUUUACUCUCCUUUUUAAUAAAUGUGCUUAUAAACCAAGGACAAGCUAUUUAUAGCUGUAUUUAUA